CCUCAUACAGAACCCGCCAUGGCUUCUACCGGCGGAGAAGAUGAUGCAGAGGAGGAGGAUGACCCACUGCUGUACGAGAGUGGUACUGAUAGGACACCGGCCUCUGGAAGUCUCCUGAAACCACCUGUGAUUAAUCUGAUCCCACCAACUCCCUCUGACGUUGUUGACGAUGGUCAGUUCUUUGACAUUAACUCAGAGGAAAGUGUGUGGCACAUACAUCUGGCAGUGAUGGAAGCUCCGCUGCUGCUGACCAGGAGAGUUACGAGGAGAAGAUGGAGAGUGAGGAAGCAGAGGAGUCAAAGGAGAGAUUCACAGUGGCCGUGAACAAGGUCGGUGGUGAUAAUGUAGCCGAGCCAAAAGAGGCCCCGAAUGAUCAGUUUGAUGAGGAAAGAGAAGCUGCGCCAACCAAAGAGAAAACAAAGCCCAGUUUCUUACGUAGCGCCUACCAGGUGGCUCCUCUCCCCGACUACCCUCAGAGAAGUGAGUUUAACAGUGACCACAUCUCCCGUGAUGUUUCACCUCAAGUCACACUGAUAUUUUAAGACAUGCGAUAGUUUGAUUAAUGUCAAAUUAGCUUCAAUUCUAAGAAGUGAGGUAGCUCCGCAAUGUCGUACUAGGUUUAACAUAAACAGUGGAAGAAGCUAGACUAGAAUUGGAGUUGUUUUCCAACAACUCCCAAGCUGUCCUGUUUACUGGUUGUGUGAAAUUGUGUUGUGUGUGAAAGUGAAAAUCAGACUUUGUAGUUUAACAAGAAAUUAGCAGCAGCUUUGCCUAAUGACAUAUUCUCGAUGACGCAUGUUUGACUGAUACACACUGAGCAAAUCCCAGGUGAGUCCUAAAUGUAUAUAGUAUCUGCUUAUGAACAAGUCCUAUCACUUGACAUUUGACGACACAUCUAACGUCCGGUAAAAAAACAAAACCAAAACAAGAAUAUUUACCAAUAUGUUGGAGUGUUUCUUUACAGACUUUUUUGUCACAAUGGUUGUCAUGGUUUCUCUCUCUGUCACAGGGAUCUUCAACACUGGAAUAAAUCUUUUGUCAUUUACUGAACACAACUUGGAUGACCUGAGCAACACAGACGCGAGCUGCUCUGACAUGCUGAAGACUGAACUUCGCUCUCGACCUCACACUGCCAACAUGGACACAGUUACUCACCAAAGGAGGCCGAUAACUCGCUCCUGCAGUUUUGGGGACGCACUGAGCAGCAGCAGCACCUCUCAUGCUUUAACCCAUAGCACACACCAACACCAGGAAGAAGAGGGGUCGCCACGACAACGACGCAUUACCAUUCGUGAGCCUGGUGUUACAUUAUGGACAAACAAGAUUGUACUAAUAAUUGCUAAUAAUGAUUUUACAACAGAUUUUUUUUAAAUUCCCUUUUCACACAGCAUCAUAUGUGCCUCGGUCUAAGGAUCAGAAUGGAAACUUUCCUGAGAAGGUACUGUAAAACAUCAAAGCAGGGCCUUCAGGGUGGCAUCAGCACACAGCCCAGAGCUGCUGCAAUUACAGAAUAUGCUCUGUUUAUAUUUCCCAGCUCCCUUGAUCUGUCAAAGCAAUGACUCUGCAAAUAGUCUCAGGAUUUUAGUCUUUUUGUCCAGGAUUUGCCAAGCAAGAUUGCUCGUAUCCUUAGCGAUCCAUGUGUUAGCUGAAACACAAAACGGAAAGAAAAAGAACCUUUUUUUUUUGGAGGCCAAUUGCUCACGUCCUGCACUUAUCAUCUCCAUGCAUUAUCAGCUGUCUUAUUUUUCUUCUGGUACCCCAUCAAUUACAUAUGAGUCAUGUAUGCAACAUGUAGCUUAAGCAGCAACGCCUGACUCCGGAGCCCCACACUGGGACCCCAAAUUAGAUGAAAUGACUGAAACUAGGUAUUAUUUAUGUGGUCUCGCUGAAUUAUGAUCUAACUGGGCUUUUCCCCCCUAAAACUCUGUCUAAUAACACAUAAUGGCAAAAUCCCUUCGACAAGGAAAACCUCUCACCCCAAUUUAUCUAAUCAUUCCACAAUCACCUGGUAAAGCCUCUGCUGGCAGCAGGGAUCACUACUUUUCUUCCCAGGAACGCCAUAAACAAAGAAUUUGUGACUAAGGCAACAAUUACACGGAGACCCGUGUUUAGAUUCCCUCCCAGAGUAAACAUUUCUUUGUCUUUUUAAACAUUUGUUUACAGUUAAACACACAAAUGUGUUUAUUUGUAUUACAAUGACGAAUUACUUUGGAGUUUAACCAUGUUAUGGCUUGAUGUCUUCCCACCCACGAAAAUAGGUUUUUGCAUGCAGGAGUUGAGUCUGAUUCAUCCUUGUGCAUCAUGUUCCGCUCCUUAUGCAAAUCCCAACCACUGCUUAUUUUUUGGAUUGAGACAUUUAAAAUAAUAUAUACAUACUGUAUAAAACUGUAUCACAUCUGACAACAAUGGUUUAAAGCGCGUCAUUACUUGUGUGUAGAGCACUAUGAUAAAAUGACAUGAAAAACAUUU
rnacentral:lncRNA from 1 species